ACACAUGCAAGUCGAACGAUGAAGCUACAGCUUGCUGUGGUGGAUUAGUGGCGAACGGGUGAGUAAUACGUGAGUAACCUGCCCUUGUCUUUGGGAUAAGCCUGGGAAACUGGGUCUAAUACCGGAUAUUCUGCUUUCAUCGCAUGGUGGGGGUUGGAAAGGGUUUCUGGAUAGGGAUGGGCUCACGGCCUAUCAGCUUGUUGGUGGGGUGAUGGCCUACCAAGGCGUCGACGGGUAGCCGGCCUGAGAGGGUGACCGGCCACAUUGGGACUGAGAUACGGCCCAGACUCCUACGGGAGGCAGCAGUGGGGAAUAUUGCACAAUGGACGCAAGUCUGAUGCAGCGACGCCGCGUGGGGGAUGAAGGCUUUCGGGUUGUAAACUCCUUUCAGUACAGAACAAGGCCUUUUUGGUUGAGGGUAUGUGCAGAAGAAGCGCCGGCUAACUACGUGCCAGCAGCCGCGGUAAUACGUAGGGCGCGAGCGUUGUCCGGAAUUAUUGGGCGUAAAGAGCUCGUAGGCGGUUUGUUGCGCCUGCUGUGAAAGACCGGGGCUUAACUUCGGGGUUGCAGUGGGUACGGGCAGACUAGAGUGUGGUAGGGGUAAUUGGAAUUCCUGGUGUAGCGGUGGAAUGCGCAGAUAUCAGGAGGAAACACCGAUGGCGAAGG
rnacentral:rRNA from 1 species